rnacentral:rRNA from 1 species
AGGACGAACGCUGGCGGCGUGCUUAACACAUGCAAGUCGAGCGGAAAGGCCUUUCGGGGUACUCGAGCGGCGAACGGGUGAGUAACACGUGAGUAACCUGCCCUUCACUUUGGGAUAACCCUCGGAAACGGGGGCUAAUACCGGAUAUUUACUGCUGGCGGCAUCGUUGGUGGUGGAAAGUUUUUCGGUGGGGGAUGGGCUCGCGGCCUAUCAGCUUGUUGGUGGGGUAAUGGCCUACCAAGGCGACGACGGGUAGCC